UUUCACUCUCUCUUUCUAUCUCUCUUUCUCUACCAUUCUCACCCCCACAGGGUAUCUCUGUGUCUCAACCACUCAACCCCAUCCUUGUUCCGGCUCUCCGCUUCUCACUCCUCUCGGCUCUCGCAGUUUCCCAGCCACUCAUCUCCGGCUCUCUGUUAUGCACCUUCGUCGAAUCGGCGCCCAAUCCGCUUCUCACUCCUUUCGGCUCUCGCUGUUUCCCAGCCACCCCGUGACUCCAUCUCCGGCUCUCUGUAAUCUCGAGUCUUGUAUGACGGCACCUUCGUCGAAUCGGCGCACACGGAAACCCUAGAUCUCUUUGACUGCUAUUCGCUGGUAUGCUACUCAAUGGCCACCGUCAAAUCGUCAAAGCCUCCAACCCAGAAAAUAUCUAAAGACAGCCACAUUCACACACCUCCUCCGCCUCCCUGCGAGCGACUCUGCUACCUUCUCCACCUCCCUGCGAGUCCGCGACUCAGCGACCUUCUCUACCUCCCUGCGGCUCUGUGACGAAGCAGCCAACGAGGACAACAACAGUCGGACGAGGACUCAUUGCUCAGUGCACAUUCCUUACUCCUUAGUCACUCACGGCAACGGUUGUUAGCGGCACACCCUCAUCCCUAUCUCUUCCGACAUUACUCCGGUGAACAAUAGCUUAACGAGUGGCGAUUGGUAUAAUUUUUUUACUGUUCGUUCUAUUUCAUAUAACCUAGUUUAUUUGUUUUGGGUGUCUUUGUGUUGGACUCGGAUUCCUUCUCUGAUUUAUGGUUUUCCUAUGAAAUAUUCAUGUUUUUCCAAUCUUAUGCUUAUGCAUCUAUUUUUUGAAUCUGUAAGAUUAGUGUUGUUGGUGUAAGAUUUGAAACUUUUUUUGUAAACCAAGAAAUCAAGAAUACAACAAUGGGCUACGCCAAAUAUUAUUGAUUUUUGAGUGAGAGUUGGUAGCUUUAGUGCACAUAUGUGGACUUUCCAGUAAGUAUCUAUAAGAAUUAGUGUGUAUGCUAAAUUUCAUGAUCUUCUAAAAUAUUGAACUAACUGUUUUUAUCUGAUAUUAUUGUGACUGACAAUUGUGUUAAGGCAAUGCUCUUUAUUAUUGUGAUUGACAUUGUCACUAUCAUUAUUAUCAAGGUUGGUAGCUUCUCACAGUCUCCUAAUUUUGCUUCCAGUUUCUUUGGUACAUAGUCUAGUUAUAAAAAAAAAACUGAGACUGCAUUCAAGUGUAAUAUAAUUUAUAGAUCCAGGUUGAAGUUUUAGGCUGUUAGGCCAUUAUUAUUUGCAUUCUAAAAGCACAGCAUACUCUUAUAGCUUGUGAUAUCAGCUUCCUUUAUUCUGUUGGAAGUGACACAAUGCUGCCAGAAUCAUCAUUCUCAAAAGUAUUUUAGGGGUGAGAAAUGCAAGACCCUCUUCAUUUGUUGAAGCUCAAUCCCAGCUUGAUUCUAGCUAGAAGAUGAAUAUUAAUUUUCAUUUCAUUACAGCCUUGAGGUUCCAAAGAGCUUCACUGUCUUGCAAAUGAGGUUAAUGAAGUUUUUUUUUUAAAACUAAUUUUUCUAAUUCCUAUGUUUGUCUAGCUCAUUUUAUAAAGUUCCCCUUUUGUUUUAGUUUCAGAUGGGAAUUAGGAGUUAUUUUUUAUUUAAAUUUUUAAAUCCAUGGUUCAACCCUUUACUGCAAUCGUAAUUAAAAACCGUCUUCCACCAUCCCCACAGGAAUACAUAAUUUUAGGUCUCAAACUUCGGAGACUAUGUAUGCAGAAUAGAAUUGCUGAAUUUCACACUGAAUUGGAGUUGCCUUCUCCAAAUGCCUUGGAGAAUCCUUGUAUUUUGGGAAGGACCACUGUUGUAGUAUUGUUAUAGACUUGUAGUUGAUGUGAUGUUAACUUGUAUUGAGUGCUUUGAACUUUUGAAGAACUUUUGAAGUUUGGACUUGUGAUGUUUUUAAAGUUUUAUUAUUUAUGUAUGGGUACAAUAAUUUUUAUUA